CUGUCUGUCCGUCUGUCUGUCCGUGUUUACGAGAGUGCAUAUAUUGGGUUCUUUUUAUACUCAGAAGGUACUUAUUGGGUACUUUUUGCUUAUUGGGUAUACCCAAUAGGAAGUGUCGCUAAAUGUACUUAAAAUGCCUUAAUUGGGUAUAUGCCGGCAAGUACCCAACACGACUUGGACACGACGACUUGUCCAAAAAAGUGUCUGAAAAAGUUGUUACUACGGACUGGCCGUAUUUCGCUUGUCAGCUACACUCCCGGAACUUUAAAUAUAAAACUAGUAACUCCCGAGAGUUCCGAAAAGCAACUUCCGUUAGUCUUGAUCUCUAAGGCGUUUUGUUUUCAUCAAAUAUGGCGACGAUGAAGAAGCGUUUGAGGUCGACACGAUCAGAAGUAAGUUUCUAUGAUUAAUUAACCUAUUAAUAGAUGUCUUCCUUAGAUAGAAUUGAUUAAAAUGUGUAUCAUGUCAAUAUAUUGUUUUUUUAAGUAAUUGUAUACAAAAUGAAGAUAAAUAUCGGAACAAAUAGGCUUGUCUGUAUUUGGAAUUUCCUCUGUUCUUAUCAACUUUAUAUGGGGUAAGCUGUAUUUAGAAAAAAAACGGGGUUUGAUGGACACUAACGGAGUAACGGUGGGCCAAAGGUCCGAGACCACUAAACAAUCGGAAGGUUUACCUGAAAAUUUGGUAUGGAGGGACUUCGGUCUACCUGAGAUUGCUGGCAAGUGCAAUCAACAAUGGUCAACUACAUAAUUUGUAAAUUUGUAAAUUGUUUACUCUCUUUAAAAAAUACAAAAAUUAAAAAGGCGCAUUGUCCGUAAAUCCUCCCCAUAUAAAUCAUUCGACAGCACUACUAUCAUAGUUUAGUUUUUAAAACACUCCAAAAACAUCGCCAACUUUUCCCAUAAAUUCGAAUUUCCUCCAUUGUUUAGUAUGGUUAUGUACGUGUUAUAAUGUAGAUUCACUUAUUGUAUCCACUUUCUAAAUCAACUUGAAAGUUGUUUGGUAAGGAUAUGGAGUUAUUCCAUAAAGACACAAUAUAUUUUCAGUGCAUUUUGUGUUUAUUUGGAAAUAACUCUUUGAGGCUUGUACACUUUGUUUGGGGAGUCUAAUCACCAGUCUACCGCAUUGUAUAAUGUUGGAUUAAGAUAUUUCAUUUUGAUAGAAUAUAGUUAACCUUUAUAAGUUUUAUCAACACAUGUAUAUUUGAAAAUAAAUGAAAUUUUAAUUUACUUCACACAAAAGAAUUUUAUUGGAUAGAAUUUUAAUGUAAUGUUCAUGUAAACAUAUGUUCCUUACAAGUGUUUUGAGAUACAUGUAGUGUCAUAGGGGAGUUUAAUCACCGUGUUGUGAUGUCAUAAUUAAAGAAUGUAACUGUCAUAUAAUAUUGAAAUCCAAUCAACUUGAAUUUUCCUGCUUUAACAUAUCGAUGAUGAAUUUUUCUACUUCAACAUUCAAAAUUGGAAAAAAAAUAAAUUAAAAAUAUUUGUUCAUUGUGUAACUAUCCUAGCUACACUGUAAGUUGUUUUUCCCGACUGGGACAGGAAUAAAUUUUUGCUGGCCUUAAAUGAGCAUGAUAUGGUAUCAACUUUACCACCAGUUGUAGUAUUUAAAAGUAUAAAUUGAACAGAAUAUUAUUAGACGUGAUGUAAAUGAAAUGGAGAAAAUGAUCUCUUUUCUUUUCUUUUGAUCAAAUAUUUUUUGAAGAACCAUCUGAUAUCUAAAAGGUCCACCAGGAGUGUAAGUGGUUCUUCUGUCCACCAGUGAAAAAAAGUUAGAGUCAAACCCUGUUAAACUAACGCAUUCAUAAUCUUUGAGAAAUCAUAACUUGUCUUGAUUAUUAAAUUUCGUAUGAUGAUAAACUCUUGUGUGUUUGACGAGGUAUAUUGGAGAAGGUAAUAAAAAAGUUUAACAAUGGUAUGUCUAUUAAUUGCUGGGUAUUGGUACAUCCAUGUAGUAAAAGCAUGUAAAGAUAGCAGAUAUAAAAGAUGCGGGUAAUUAACAAUAAAUAAAUAAAUGAUAAGUUCAAGAGGAAUUUGACCCCAUGUAGACUUAUGACUUACCAAUGAUUACAAUAAGAUUAAAAAGCAUUAUUUUGUUUAGUUGUGAAUUUUAAAAAGUUGUUCUAUAUUUUAAAGGAAUUUCAGGUGUGAACAUAAACAGAAAAUAUGCUAGAAGAUGUUCCAUCGGAAUUGGACAGUUUGGUAGAGGAAGCAGACCUACAGAAAGAGGAAGAAGAAGAGACAUCACUUCGAAGGAAAAAACAUCUUCAUCUUCAUGAAUAAAAUAGACAGAGGCAGAACUUAAUGAGGUGCAUGAAUAUAUCAGAGAAUGUCUGAACACAAACACCAGUACAGGAAGAAAAAGAUUGCAAUAUGGGAUUAGAGAAGAACAGACCCAAUAGAAGUGUCAUACAGUUUAGGCCAAGGAAGACUCUGAACAAGAACGUAUAGAACAUAAUUCAGAAACAAAAAUAAAACCAUUUGACAUUUUUUGUAAUCUAGGAUUAAAGCCCCACGUGUGAAGUUUUGUCAUGUAAUGAUCUCUGACUCUUAACAUUAUUUUUUCUUCUGUUCUAAUUAUGUACAGUGAAUAUCUGAUCAAAUAUUUUGAUCUAGCUUUGUGGAAAAGAUUUUGACAGUGUUUAAGUUUUGACACGAAGUAGUUCAUUUCUUAACUUGAGGUAAUGGUGAAUAUCACAAGUCAUUGCUAUUACUGUAGGGAAUAUAUGCAUUGUAUUUGUAUUCCAUGGGAAACUGAAUAGUAGCAUGUAAUCAGUUUGAGAUUUUUUUCGUACGAUGGAAGACAAUUUUCAUUGACCUAACAAAUGAUUGGUCUAUGAUGAUAUAAGCAAUUUCAUGGAUUUUCGAUACAUUUAAUGUGAAUGUCCUUAGAUAAGAGCAACUCGUAGCCAAUAUGUACGCAAGGAUGCGAUCUAUUUAACAGUUUGAUAAAUAUAUAAUUAUAUAUAUAUCAAUAUCAUGGACUUUCUUCUGCUGAUGAAAAUUCCGUUAAUUAUAGCAACUGAUAGGAAAUAUGUACCCUGGAAUCUGUUUUAUUAAGGAUUAUGUGGGCCUUCUAUCUUUAAUCUAUAUAUGUGUCAAUGCUUAGAUAAAUGCUGUUCUGUGUUUUAAAGUUAAAAAUAAAAAAGAGACUAUU